rnacentral:rRNA from 1 species
UACGUAGGGUGCAAGCGUUAAUCGGAAUUACUGGGCGUAAAGCGUGCGCAGGCGGUUGUUCAAGACAGAUGUGAAAUCCCCGGGCUCAACCUGGGAAUUGCAUUUGUGACUGCACGGCUAGAGUGUGUCAGAGGGGGGUAGAAUUCCACGUGUAGCAGUGAAAUGCGUAGAGAUGUGGAGGAAUACCGAUGGCGAAGGCAGCCCCCUGGGAUAACACUGACGCUCAUGCACGAAAGCGUGGGGAGCAAACAGG